rnacentral:rRNA from 1 species
CCGCGGUAAUACAGAGGGUGCAAGCGUUAAUCGGAAUUAUUGUGUUUAAAGGGUGCGUAGGCGGCCCGUGAAGUCAGGGGUGAAAGACGGUGGCUCAACCAUCGCAGUGCCCUUGAUACUGUCGGGCUUGAAUGUACAUGAGGUAGGCGGAAUGUGGCAAGUAGCGGUGAAAUGCAUAGAUAUGCCACAGAACACCGAUUGCGAAGGCAGCUUACCAAGGUAUGAUUGACGCUGAGGCACGAAAGCGUGGGGAUCAAACAGG